AACGAACGCUGGCGGCAGGCUUAACACAUGCAAGUCGAACGAGAUCUUCGGAUCUAGUGGCAGACGGGUGAGGAACACGUGGGAACAUCCCUUUCAGUUCGGAAUAACGUUGGGAAACCAACGCUAAUACCGGAUACGUCCUUCGGGAGAAAGAUUUAUCGCUGAAAGAUUGGCUCGCGUCUGAUUAGCUAGUUGGUGAGGUAAUGGCUCACCAAGGCUACGAUCAGUAGCUGAUCUGAGAGGAUGAUCAGCCACAUUGGGACUGAGACACGGCCCAAACUCCUACGGGAGGCAGCAGUGGGGAAUAUUAGACAAUGGGCGCAAGCCUGAUCCGGCCAUGCCGCGUGAGUGAUGAAGGCCUUCGGGUUGUAAAGCUCUUUUAUCCGGGAAGAUAAUGACUGUACCGGAAGAAUAAGCCCCGGCAAACUUCGUGCCAGCCGCCGCGGUAA
rnacentral:rRNA from 1 species